rnacentral:rRNA from 1 species
AACGAACGCUGGCGGCAGGCUUAACACAUGCAAGUCGAGCGCCCCGCAAGGGGAGCGGCAGACGGGUGAGUAACGCGUGGGAAUCUACCCAUCUCUACGGAAUAGCGCAUGGAAACGUGUGCUAAUACCGUAUACGUCCUUCGGGAGAAAGAUCUAUCGGAGAUGGAUGAGCCCGCGUUGGAUUAGCUAGUUGGUGGGGUAAAGGCCUACCAAGGCGACGAUCCAUAGCUGGUCUGAGAGGAUGAUCAGCCACACUGGGACUGAGACACGGCCCAGACUCCUACGGGAGGCAGCAGUGGGGAAUAUUGGACAAUGGGCGCAAGCCUGAUCCAGCCAUGCCGCGUGAGUGAUGAAGGCCCUAGGGUUGUAAAGCUCUUUCACCGGUGAAGAUAAUGACGGUAACCGGAGAAGAAGCCCCGGCUAACUUUGUGCCAGCCGCCGCCGUAAGAC